rnacentral:rRNA from 1 species
AAGCCGGUGGUGUAUCUUUUUAGGAGCUAGCCGUCGAAGGUGGGACAAAUGAUUGGGGUGAAGUCGUAACAAGGUAGCCGUAUCGGAAGGUGCGGCUGGAUCACCUCCUUUCUAAGGA